rnacentral:rRNA from 1 species
AUUGAACGCUGGCGGCAGGCCUAACACAUGCAAGUCGAACGAGUGGCGGACGGGUGAGUAAUGUCUGGGAAACUGCCCGAGGGAGGGGGAUAACUACUGGAAACGGUAGCUAAUACCGCAUACCAUCGGAUGUGCCCAGAUGGGAUUAGCUAGUAGGUGGGGUAAUGGCUCACCUGGGCGACGAUCCCUAGCUGGUCUGAGAGGAUGACCAGCCACACGUGAACUGAGACACGGUCCAGACUCCUACGGGAGGCAGCAGUGGGGAAUAUUUCACAAUGGGGGCAAGCCUGAUGCAGCCAUGCCGCGUGUGUGAAGAAGGCCCUCGGGUUGUAAAGUACUUUCAGCGGGGAGACGUUACUCGCAGAAGAAGCACCGGCUAACUCCGUGCCAGCAGCCGCGGUAAUUC